rfam:Wolbachia endosymbiont of Culex quinquefasciatus Pel strain wPip complete genome
AAAAUCCAACAUAAACAAAGUCUAGCCAACAGUUUAGAACAGACCACUAUGUUGCAUGAGGUAACGAGUGUAAUAGAGCUAGUGGAAUGGACAAUGCAGGGUACAACGAAAGUGAAGGGAUUGAGUCCCGAAAUACCUGAAGACAUAGAGGUCGACAUUUUCAUUUCGGUGGAAGACAGCAUGAGGGAUAAUGCAAAGGCGAGUUAUCACUCACUCUAUCGGGAUCUGAGACCG